AGAACACCAUGAAAAUUUUCUUGGAAAGGAACAGGACUCACUUCUGCCAGAACCCUUCCACGUUGAACUGCUGUAAUUUCAGACGGUGGAACCAGGGCUACGGAGCACUUGCUUUGUGAUGAGGGUCCUCCAUUUCUCCUCCUACCACCACAUAUGCAGUAUUCCUUCACCAUUGUGUUUCAAAGUGUUUUUUACAAGACCUCAACACUUAAAACACUGAUAAAAUCAGAUGUGGAACAGAUUUACAGCAACAGCUACAAUCUCUCAGAAGAGUUUCCUAAUUACCAGCGUUAUAGAACCACUUCUCUCAGUUAUUCUUAAAUGCAAUAAAG